rnacentral:rRNA from 1 species
CAGUCGCCACGGUAAUACAGAGGGUGCGAGCGUUAAUCGGAUUUACUGGGCGUAAAGCGUGCGUAGGCGGCUAAUUGAGUCGGAUGUGAAAUCCCCGAGCUUAACUUGGGAUUUGCAUUCGAUACUGGUUAGCUAGAGUGUGGGAGAGGAUGGUAGAAUUCCAGGUGUAGCGGUGAAAUGCGUAGAGAUCUGGAGGAAUACCGAUGGCGAAGGCAGCCAUCUGGCCUAACACUGACGCUGAGGUACGAAAGCAUGGGGAGCAAACAGGAUUAGAUACCCCUGUAGUCCCUGUCUCUUAUAC